GAAAUCUUGCUUGCCUUGUGGAGAAGCAGUGACAGGUAAGAAAGAUUGAUUUUAAUUCCUGUCUAACCAUCUGUCUCUGGGGAAAAACACAAGGCAUACUUUCCUCAGAGAGCUACUUACAAAGAGGUUUAGAACAAUACAUCACUAAUCAAAAUCUUUUGCAGGUAAACACUGAGGUAUCCCAGGGUGUGAUGGAAAUGCAGAUGUAGCUGAAUAAUUGCCAAAUUGCACUCCACAUCUUCAGAUMACACCGUGGUUUGGAAAAUCCUUUCCUGGAGAACCAUGCAAUUGAAAAAGAAGAGGUGAAUGAAGGGAAAGCACCAGCAGAGAAAUACAGGUUUCUAUUGCUAUACUUCUUGUUUCCUAAUCUCCUUGGGAUAAAUUUAACUUUGUUUUUCAAGAAUAGUGUGAYAUGCACUCCACAGUGCAAGAUUCUAACCUGUAGCU
rnacentral:lncRNA from 1 species